rnacentral:rRNA from 1 species
AUUGAACGCUGGCGGCAUGCUUUACACAUGCAAGUCGAACGGCAGCGCGGGCUUCGGCCUGGCGGCGAGUGGCGAACGGGUGAGUAAUGCAUCGGAACGUGCCCAGUAGUGGGGGAUAGCCCGGCGAAAGCCGGAUUAAUACCGCAUACGACCUGAGGGUGAAAGCGGGGGACCGAAAGGCCUCGCGCUAUUGGAGCGGGCGAUGUCGGAUUAGCUAGUUGGUGGGGUAAAGGCUUACCAAGGCGACGAUCCGUAGCUGGUCUGAGAGGACGACCAGCCACACUGGGACUGAGACACGGCCCAGACUCCUACGGGAGGCAGCAGGGGGGAAUUUUGGACAAUGGGGGCAACCCUGAUCCGGCCAUGCCGCGUGCGGGAAGAAGGCCUUCGGGUUGUAAACCGCUUUUGUUCGGGAAGAAAUCCUCUGGGCUAAUACCCCGGGGGGAUGACGGUACCGGAAGAAUAAGCACCGGCUAACUACGU